CCCUUAGAUGUUCUGGGCUGCACGCGCGCUACAAUGUCAUGAAAACCGGGAUGCUUUAACGAAAUUUAUUGCGAAACCCCAACUCAUGACGCGACUGGGAUUGACGUUUUUAAUUAUUCGUCAUGAACGAGGAAUUCCUAGUAAACGCGAAUCAUCAGUUCGUGUUGAUUAUGUCCCUGCCCUUUGUACACACCGCCCGUCGCUCCUACCGAUUGAGCGUUUUGGUGAGCACUCUGGAGCGCAGCAAUGCAUAAAUGAAUGCAAACCUGAGCGUUUAGAGGAAGGAUAAGUCGUAACA
rnacentral:rRNA from 1 species